UUAAAUCCUAGGCAUCCAAGAAGGUGGGUCGUCGCCCUCCACCUUACUUGGGGACGAACAACCUCCGGGGAAAUCAUCUACUUAAAUCCUAGGCAUCCAAGAAGGUGGGUCGUAGCCCUCCACAUUACUUGGGGACGAACAACCUCCGGGACAGUAGGGAAAUCAUCUACUUAAAUCCCAGGCAUCUAGGACAGUAGGGACGUCAUCCACUUAGAUCCUAGGCAUCCAAGUAGGUGGGUCGUCGCCCUCCACCGCACUUGGGGACGAACAACCUCCGGGACAGUAGGGAAAUCAUCUACUUAAAUCCCAGGCAUCUAGGACAGUAGGGACAUCAUCCACUUAGAUCCUAGGCAUCCAAGUAGGUGGGUCGUUGCCCUCCACCACACUUAGGGAAAAACAACCUCUGGAACAGUAGGGAAAUCAUCCACUUAGAUUCCAGGCAUCCAAGUAGGUGGGUCGUCGCCCUCCACCACACUUGGGGAACAUAAACCUCUGGGACAGUAGGGACAUCAUCCACUUAGAUCCCAGGCAUCCAAGUAGGUGGGUCGUCGCUCUCCACC
rnacentral:lncRNA from 1 species